ACAUACCAUCCUGAAUGUGCCUAAUCUUGCCUGAUCUUGGAAGCUAAGCACAGUUGGGAGUGAUUAGUGCGUGGAUGGGAGAUUUUUAAUGCUAUUACUUAAAAUGUA
rnacentral:rRNA from 1 species